rnacentral:rRNA from 1 species
GACGAACGCUGGCGGCGUGCUUAACACAUGCAAGUCGAACGAUGAAGCCGGAGCUUGCUCUGGUGAAUUAGUGGCGAACGGGUGAGUAACACGUGAGUAACCUGCCCUUGACUCUGGAAUAACUGCGGGAAACUGUAGCUAAUACCGGAUACGACCCUCGGAGGCAUCUCCUGGGGGUGGAAAGAAUUUCGGUCAAGGAUGGACUCGCGGCCUAUCAGCUAGUUGGUGAGGUAAAGGCUCACCAAGGCGACGACGGGUAGCCGGCCUGAGAGGGUGACCGGCCACACUGGGACUGAGGCACGGCCCAGACUCCUACGGGAGGCAGCAGUGGGGAAUAUUGCACAAUGGGCGCAAGCCUGAUGCAGCAACGCCGCGUGAGGGGUGACGGCCUUCGGGUUGUAAACCUCUUUUAGCAGGGAAGAAGCGAAAGUGACGGUACCUGCAGAAAAAGCACCGGCUAACUACGUGCCAGCCGCCGCCGUAA